GGCUCUGACAUUCAUCCGAUCCCGCGCUUCGCUUGCUCAUCGUUUGCCGUUUCAGAAUCGAGGGGAAGCGAACCAAAUCGAGAACAUGGAGGUGGAGAAAGCGUUGGUGCUAUGGAACAUCAGCAGCUGUCCGAUUCCAGAUGGUCAUGAUCCUCUUAUGGUGGUUCAGAGAAUACAAGCGGCGGUGGAGAAGUCCGGCUACGUCCGCCGCAACGGCGAGAUCUCAAUCACUGCCAUUGGCGACAAACUAACAGAGGUCCCUGGCGAAGACGUCAUGAGGAGGCUCUCUUCCAUCGGAAUCGCUCUUAAAAACGCUGACGGUUUAAAUCUUUCUUCCUUUGUCUGUGUGAAGAUAAGGGAUUCAGAAUUCUUCUUGCAUAUCCUCACCGUGACCUAGCAGCCACACCCUUCCCAUGUAAACAGUGGGAUUGGGCUGCCUUGUUCUCAGAUGAACAGGAGACGACAACAGCAACAACAACAAGCCUUAUCGGUGGAUCUCCCUGGUUCUGUGAAGUAUGCUUUGUUGCUGCCCCAAGCCUUGAAGAUUUCACCACCCAUCUCAAGUCUGUAAAACAUGCAUAUGGUGAGUGGGACAGGCAUGCUAGUAAAAACAAUGUGGAUCGUACUAACCCUGCUAACCUGCCCUUUGGUCGAUCAAAUGAGUUGGACUUGCUGCUUAAUCAAGACAUGCUUAGACGUCAGAUGUUAACGUCCGGGCGCGGGCGCCGGCGCAGGCGCGGGCCGCUCGGCCCUCUUAGGCCUCAACACACAUUUAACCUAACGCAU